rnacentral:rRNA from 1 species
UGGGGAAUAUUGGACAAUGGGCGGAAGCCUGAUCCAGCAACGCCGCGUGAGGGAUGACGGCCUUCGGGUUGUAAACCUCUUUCAGCGGGGACGAAGCGCAAGUGACGGUACCCGCAGAAGAAGCACCGGCCAACUACGUGCCAGCAGCCGCGGUAAUACGUAGGGUGCGAGCGUUGUCCGGAAUUAUUGGGCGUAAAGGGCUCGUAGGCGGUUUGUCGCGUCGGGAGUGAAAACGCCGGGCUUAACUCGGUGCUUGCUUUCGAUACGGGCAGACUAGAGGCAUGCAGGGGAGAACGGAAUUCCUGGUGUAGCGGUGAAAUGCGCAGAUAUCAGGAGGAACACCGGUGGCGAAGGCGGUUCUCUGGGCAUGUCCUGACGCUGAGGAGCGAAAGUGUGGGGAGCGAACAGGAUUAGAUACCCUGGUAGGUCCACACCGUAAACGUUGGGCGCUAGGUGUGGGAUCCAUUCCACGGGUUCCGUGCCGCAGCUAACGCAUUAAGCGCCCCGCCUGGGGAGUACGGCCGCAAGGCUAAAACUCAAAUGAAUUGACGGGGUC